UGGGGAAUAUUGGACAAUGGGCGAAAGCCUGAUCCAGCCAUGCCGCGUGUGUGAAGAAGGUCUUCGGAUUGUAAAGCACUUUAAGUUGGGAGGAAGGGCAGUAAGCGAAUACCUUGCUGUUUUGACGUUACCGACAGAAUAAGCACCGGCUAACUCUGUGCCAGCAGCCGCGGUAAUACAGAGGGUGCAAGCGUUACUCGGAAUUACUGGGCGUAAAGCGCGCGUAGGUGGUUCGUUAAGUUGAAUGUGAAAGCCCCGGGCUCAACCUGGGAACUGCAUCCAAAACUGGCGAGCUAGAGUAGGGCAGAGGGUGGUGGAAUUUCCUGUGUAGCGGUGAAAUGCGUAGAUAUAGGAAGGAAAACCAGUGGCGAAGGCGACCACCUGGGCUCAUACUGACACUGAGGUGCGAAAGCGUGGGGAGCAAACAGG
rnacentral:rRNA from 1 species